rnacentral:rRNA from 1 species
ACUCCUACGGGGAGGCAGCAGUGGGGAAUAUUGCACAAUGGGGGAAACCCUGAUGCAGCCAUGCCGCGUGUGUGAAGAAGGCCUUCGGGUUGUAAAGCACUUUCUAGUAGGGAGGAAGGUAGUGUAGUUAACACCUGCACUAUUUGUACGUUACCUACAGAAGAAGCACCGGCUAACUCCGUGCCAGCAGCCGCGGUAAGUACGGAGGGUGCGAGCGUUAAUCGGAAUUACUGGGCGUAAAGCGCAUGCAGGCGGCCUGUUAAGUCAGAUGUGAAAGCCCGGGGCUUAACCGUCGGAAUUGCAUUUGAAACGUGGCAGGCUAGAGUCUUGUAGAGGGGUUAGAAUUUCAGGUGUAGCGGUGAAAUGCGUAGAGAUCU